GAGUUUGAUCCUGGCUCAGAGCGAACGCUGGCGGCAGGCCCAACACAUGCAAGUCGAACGGUUCCUUCGGGGACAGUGGCAGACGGGUGAGUAACGCGUGGGAACGUGCCCUUCGGUUCGGAAUAACUCAGGGAAACUUGAGCUAAUACCGGAUACGUCCGAGAGGAGAAAGAUUUAUCGCCGAAGGAUCGGCCCGCGUCUGAUUAGCUAGUUGGUGGGGUAAUGGCCUACCAAGGCGACGAUCAGUAGCUGGUCUGAGAGGAUGAUCAGCCACACUGGGACUGAGACACGGCCCAGACUCCUACGGGAGGCAGCAGUGGGGAAUAUUGGACAAUGGGCGCAAGCCUGAUCCAGCCAUGCCGCGUGAGUGAUGAAGGCCCUAGGGUUGUAAAGCUCUUUUGUCCGGGACGAUAAUGACGGUACCGGAAGAAUAAGCCCCGGCUAACUUCGUA
rnacentral:rRNA from 1 species